GCUCCUAGUACGAGAGGACCGGAGUGGACGCAUCACUGGUGUUCUGGUUGUCAUGCCAAUGGCACUGCCCGGUAGCUAAAUGCGGAAGAGAUAAGUGCUGAAAUCAUCUAAGCACGAAACUUGCCCCGAGAUGAGUUCUCCCUGAGACUUUAAGUCUCCUGAAGUAACGUUGAAGACGACGACGUUGAUAGGCCGGGUGUGUAAGCGCAUCGAUGCGUUGAGCUAACCGGUACUAAUGAACCGUGAGUCUUAACCUA
rnacentral:rRNA from 1 species